rnacentral:rRNA from 1 species
AGUGAACGCUGGCGGUAGGCCUAACACAUGCAAGUCGAACGGCAGCACAGUAAGAGCUUGCUCUUACGGGUGGCGAGUGGCGGACGGGUGAGGAAUACAUCGGAAUCUACUUUUUCGUGGGGGAUAACGUAGGGAAACUUACGCUAAUACCGCAUACGACCUACGGGUGAAAGCAGGGGAUCUUCGGACCUUGCGCGAUUGAAUGAGCCGAUGUCGGAUUAGCUAGUUGGCGGGGUAAAGGCCCACCAAGGCGACGAUCCGUAGCUGGUCUGAGAGGAUGAUCAGCCACACUGGAACUGAGACACGGUCCAGACUCCUACGGGAGGCAGCAGUGGGGAAUAUUGGACAAUGGGCGAAAGCCUGAUGCAGCCAUGCCGCGUGAGUGAAGAAGGUCUUCGGAUCGUAAAGCCCUUUUGUUGGGAAAGAAAAGCAGCGUGUUAAUACCCGGCUGUUCUGACGGUACCCAAAGAAUAAGCACCGGCUAACUUCGUG